rnacentral:rRNA from 1 species
GGGGAAUAUUGGACAAUGGGCGAAAGCCUGAUCCAGCGACGCCGCGUGAAUGAUGAAGGCCUUCGGGUUGUAAAGUUCUUUUGGCAGGGAAGAUAGUGACGGUACCUGCAGAAUAAGCCCCGGCUAACUCUGUGCCAGCAGCCGCGGUAAGACAGAGGGGGCUAGCGUUGUUCGGAAUCACUGGGCGUAAAGGGCGCGUAGGCGGCCAUGUAAGUCAGAGGUGAAAGCCUGGAGCUUAACUCCAGAAUUGCCUUUGAUACUGCUUGGCUCGAGUCCGGAAGAGGGUGGUGGAAUUCCUAGUGUAGAGGUGAAAUUCGUAGAUAUUAGGAGGAACACCGAUGGCGAAGGCAGCCACCUGGUCCGGUACUGACGCUGAGGCGCGAAAGCGUGGGGAGCAAAC